CCUACGGGUGGCUGCAGUGAGGAAUAUUGGUCAAUGGGCGUAAGCCUGAACCAGCCAAGUCGCGUGAGGGAUGAAGGUUCUAUGGAUCGUAAACCUCUUUUAUAAGGGAAUAAAGUGUGGGACGUGUCCUAUUUUUUAUGUACCUUAUGAAUAAGGAUCGGCUAACUCCGUGCCAGCAGCCGCGGUAAUACGGAGGAUCCGAGCGUUAUCCGGAUUUAUUGGGUUUAAAGGGUGCGUAGGCGGCCUUUUAAGUCAGCUGUGAAAGUCUGUGGCUCAACCAUAGAAUUGCCGUUGAAACUGGGGGGCGUGAGUAUGUUUGAGGAAGGCGGAAUGCGUGGUGUAGCGGUGAAAUGCUUAGAUAUCACGCAGAACUCCGAUUGCGAAGGCAGCAUACAAAGCCAUGACUGACGCUGAUGCACGAAAGCGUGGGGAUCAAACAGGAUUAGAUACCCGUGUAGUC
rnacentral:rRNA from 1 species